rnacentral:rRNA from 1 species
UACGUAGGGGGCUAGCGUUGUCCGGAUUUAUUGGGCGUAAAGAGCGUGUAGGCGGCCAUGUAGGUCCGGUGUGAAAACUCGAGGCUUAACCUCGAGAUGUCAUCGGAAACCAUUUGGCUAGAGUCCGGAAGAGGAGAGUGGAAUUCCUGGUGUAGCGGUGAAAUGCGCAGAUAUCAGGAAGAACACCAAUGGCGAAAGCAGCUCUCUGGGACGGUACUGACGCUGAGACGCGAAAGCGUGGGGAGCGAAUAGG